rnacentral:rRNA from 1 species
GAUGAACGCUGGCUACAGGCUUAACACAUGCAAGUCGAGGGGAAACGACGGGGAAGCUUGCUUCCCCGGGCGUCGACCGGCGCACGGGUGAGUAACGCGUAUCCAACCUGCCUCUGACUGAGGGAUAACCCGUCGAAAGUCGGCCUAAUACCUCAUGGCAUCGUCUGCGGGCAUCCAACGACGAUUAAAGAUUUCAUCGGUCAGGGAUGGGGAUGCGUCUGAUUAGCUAGUUGGCGGGGUAACGGCCCACCAAGGCGACGAUCAGUAGGGGUUCUGAGAGGAUGGUCCCCCACAUUGGAACUGAGACACGGUCCAAACUCCUACGGGAGGCAGCAGUGAGGAAUAUUGGUCAAUGGGCGAGAGCCUGAACCAGCCAAGUAGCGUGCAGGAUGACGGCCCUAUGGGUUGUAAACUGCUUUUAUGCGGGGAUAAAGUGAGGGACGUGUCCUUCAUUGCAGGUACCGCAUGAAUAAGGACCGGCUAAUUCCGUG